UCCCAGGUGGCUCAGUGGGUAAAGAAUCUGCCUUGCAAGGCAGAAGACGCAGGUUCAAUCCCUGGGUUGGGAA
rnacentral:tRNA from 1 species